UACGGAGGAUCCGAGCGUUAUCCGGAAUUAUUGGGUUUAAAGGGUGCGCAGGCGGGCUAAUCAGUCAGGGUGAAAUUCCACGGCUCAACUGUGGGUGUGCCUUUGAUACUGUUAGUCUUGAAUUUAGUUGAAGUGGGCGGAAUGUAGCAUGUAGCGGUGAAAUGCAUAGAUAUGCUACAGAACACCGAUAGCGAAGGCAGCUCACUAAGUUAAUAUUGACGCUCAUGCACGAAAGCGUGGGGAUCAAACAGGAUUA
rnacentral:rRNA from 1 species